UACGUAGGGUGCGAGCGUUAAUCGGAAUCACUGGGCGUAAAGCGCACGUAGGCGGAUUGUUAAGUCAGGGGUGAAAUCCUGGAGCUCAACUCCAGAACUGCCUUUGAUACUGGCGAUCUCGAGUCCGGGAGAGGUGAGUGGAACUGCGAGUGUAGAGGUGAAAUUCGUAGAUAUUCGCAAGAACACCAGUGGCGAAGGCGGCUCACUGGCCCGGUACUGACGCUGAGGUGCGAAAGCGUGGGGAGCAAACAGG
rnacentral:rRNA from 1 species